rnacentral:rRNA from 1 species
GGGGAAUAUUGCACAAUGGGCGCAAGCCUGAUGCAGCGACGCCGCGUGAGGGAUGACGGCCUUCGGGUUGUAAACCUCUUUCAGCAGGGAAGAAGCGCAAGUGACGGUACCUGCAGAAGAAGCGCCGGCUAACUACGUGCCAGCAGCCGCGGUAAUACGUAGGGCGCAAGCGUUGUCCGGAAUUAUUGGGCGUAAAGAGCUCGUAGGCGGUUUGUCGCGUCUGCUGUGAAAACGCGAGGCUCAACCUCGCGCCUGCAGUGGGUACGGGCAGACUAGAGUGCGGUAGGGGAGACUGGAAUUCCUGGUGUAGCGGUGGAAUGCGCAGAUAUCAGGAGGAACACCGGUGGCGAAGGCGGGUCUCUGGGCCGUAACUGACGCUGAGGAGCGAAAGCAUGGGGA